UUCCCUGUGGCUCAGUUGGUAGAGCAUGGUGUUUGCAACGCCAGGGUUGUGGGUUCGAUUCCAACGGGGGGGG
rfam:Salmo salar isolate Sally breed double haploid chromosome ssa03, whole genome shotgun sequence.